rnacentral:rRNA from 1 species
CCUACGGGAGGCAGCAGUGGGGAAUAUUGGGCAAUGGGCGCAAGCCUGACCCAGCAACGCCGCGUGAAGGAAGAAGGCUUUCGGGUUGUAAACUUCUUUUCUCAGGGACGAAGCAAGUGACGGUACCUGAGGAAUAAGCCACGGCUAACUACGUGCCAGCAGCCGCGGUAAUACGUAGGUGGCAAGCGUUAUCCGGAUUUACUGGGUGUAAAGGUCGUGUAGGCGGGAAAGCAAGUCAGAUGUGAAAACCAUGGGCUCAACCUGUGGCCUGCAUUUGAAACUGGUUUUCUUGAGUACUGGAGAGGCAGACGGAAUGCCUAGUGGAGCGGUGAAAUGCGUAGAUAUUAGGAGGAACACCAGUGGCGAAGGCGGUCUGCUGGACAGCAACUGACGCUGAGGCGCGAAAGCGUGGGGAGCAAACAGGAUUAGAUACCCCUGUAGGUC